rnacentral:rRNA from 1 species
GAUGAACGCUGGCGGCGUGCCUAAUACAUGCAAGUCGAGCGAACAGACGAGGAGCUUGCGCCUCUGACGUUAGCGGCGGACGUGUGAGUAACACGUGUAUAACCUACCUAUAAGACUGGUAUAACUUCGGGAAACCGGAGCUAAUACCGUAUAAUAUACUGAACCGCGUGGUUGAAUAGUGAAGGACGGUUUUGCGGUCACUUAUCGAUGGAUCCGCGCCGCAUUAGCUAGUUGGUAAGGUAACGGCUUACCAAGGCAACGAUGCGUAGCCGACCUGAGAGGGGGGUAGGCCACCCUGGAGCUGGAACGCGGACCAGGGGCCUACGGGAGGGAGCAGUAGGGAAUCUUCCGCAGCGGGCGAAAGCCUGACGGAACGAGGCGGCGUGAGUGAUGACGGUCUUCCGAUCGUAAUACUCUGUUACUAGGGAAAAACCAAUGUGUAAGUAACUAUGCACGUCUUGACGGUACCUGGUCAGAAAGCAACGGCUAACUACGUG